GUGCUUACUUCCGCAACUCAUAUGCUAACAUUGAAAUAAUACAGAGAAGAUGAGCAUGGCUCUGUACAAGGACAAAGUGGCCUCAGAACACAAAAAGAGAUGCACUCUCUA
rnacentral:snRNA from 1 species